rnacentral:rRNA from 1 species
AUAUCAGUAAGCGGAGGAAAGGAAACUAACAAGGAUUCCCUUAGUAACGGCGAGUGAAGCGGGAAAAGCUCAAAUUUAAAAUCUGGUGUCCUUUGGUCACCCGAGUUGUAGUCUAGAGAGAUACUUUCUGUGCUGGACCAUGUAAAAGUCUCUUGGAACAGAGCAUCAUAGAGGGUGAGAAUCCCGUCUUUGACAUGGACUACCAGUGCUUUGUGUAGUGUCUUCAAAGAGUCGAGUUGUUUGGGAAUGCAGCUCAAAAUGGGUGGUAAAUUCCAUCUAAAGCUAAAUAUUGGCGAGAGACCGAUAGCGCACAAGUA